GAGUGAGGGGGGGCAUGAAAGCUGCUUCUGCAGAGGAGGUCCCCACUGCAGACUCAUCUGUCCUGAGCCACCUCCCGGCAGUCGCCCCACGUGUGCGCUGUGCUCAGUCACCACUUCCACCUGCCUCUCGGAGUUCGCCCACAGCGCUUCUUCCUUCGCCUCUCUCAAGCUUGGCUGACCACGAAGUCACACCGCAGCCAAGAGGCUCUGUGCUCAGCAUCGUCAAUGGCCUGACAUGAGACCGGAGGAGAGUUCUGCUCCUCGCUCAGCCCAGCUCAGCUCAGCGUGUCUCCUGGCUUCUGCUUCUCUCCUGAGCACCUGACGGUAGUCAGUGCCCUACGACUCACUGCCAUGCUCUCUGCCUGGGCCAGUAGUUCCAGCAUCUCACCCACGCUGCCAUGACCCAUCUCCUAGGCAAGCCUUUCCACACACAGGCUGCCGGACCAGCAAGAGGGGAAGGCCGCCAACUCAUCUCUCAGCGUUUGAAGAGUUUCAUCCACACAGUUUUUCCUUCCAAACACCUGGGCUAUUUUCGUUUCUCUGAAACAUGCAAGCCAAAGGCGCCGGCCAGGCUGUUCCUUCUUAGGAGCGAGUUGCACACAUUACCCCGAGCAGCACCCCAGCGGCCACACCACACUGGUUUCUUUGUGAGGUCAUCUUUGCAGUGGUUUCCUGAAGCUCUGGCCUCCUUCCUGGUAUCUUUACACAUUCUACUUUGCCCAAGUUCUGAAGGUGUUUCAGUUCAGUGAAAACAAGGGCCCAUUGACUAUUGGCUUCUGAGCUUCAAGCUGUGGAGGAUAUGAAAACCUCCAGGGGGUGCUCUGGAGGAUACAGUGUAGUUAAGAGGUAUCCAGGUGGGGUCCCCUCCCACAGAUAGUCCCAGUGAGAAAGAAUUCCACGGUGCAUUAAGUUUGAAUCCGCAUACAGAGCCGCCCCUCUUGGUGACUCGAAACACGCAUUAUUACAUUAAAGGUUCUGAGAAGUCUUGUAAGUAAA